rnacentral:tRNA from 1 species
UAGAGACCAAAGGACGGCAAAGUGCCCGUCCAGGCGUCCGCACAAGUGACCUGCAUCCAAGAGUGAGUCCCGCGGCUUUCAAAAACCGCACACGGGGCCAUAGCUCAGCUGGGAGAGCACCUGCUUUGCAAGCAGGGGGUCGUCGGUUCGAUCCCGACUGGCUCCACCAUCUGGCAGCUCGCAACAUUGGGUCUGUAGCUCAGGUGGUUAGAGCGCACCCCUGAUAAGGGUGAGGCUGGUGGUUCGAGUCCUCCCAGACCCACCACCCUCUUGGAUGUCACCGCGCACAUAUAUGAUCUUGAAGCGGCCUGGCGCUGAAGCCGGUGUCGCGUUCUUUGACAAAUGGGAUGUAGCGAGCGUUUGAGACGAAUGUCCAGACGUGUCGUAGAGGCUAAGGCGGGGCCCUAGAGGCCCUAAAUCUGAAGUGAGACGUUGUGUUCGCGACAACGUGUGGCCCCGAGGCGACUUGGGGUUAUA